AUUGGACGCUGGCGGAAUGCUUUACACAUGCAAGUCGAACGGCAGCACGGACCUCGGUCUGGUGGCGAGUGGCGAACGGGUGAGUAAUGUAUCGGAACGUGCCCAGUCGUGGGGGAUAACGUAGUGAAAAUUACGCUAAUACCGCAUACGAUCUAUGGAUGAAAGCGGGGGAUCGCAAGACCUCGCGCGAUUGGAGCGGCCGAUAUCAGAUUAGGUAGUUGGUGGGGUAAAGGCCCACCAAGCCAACGAUCUGUAGCUGGUCUGAGAGGACGACCAGCCACACUGGAACUGAGAAACGGUCCAGACUCCUACGGGAGGCAGCAGUGGGGAAUUUUGGACAAUGGGCGAAAGCCUGAUCCAGCCAUUCCGCGUGCAGGAUGAAGGCCCUCGGGUUGUAAACUGCUUUUGUACAGAACGAAAAGGUUUCUACUAAUACUAGGAGCUCAUGACGGUACUGUAAGAAUAAGCACCGGCUAACUACGUGCCAGCCGCCGCCGUAA
rnacentral:rRNA from 1 species